rnacentral:rRNA from 1 species
ACCCGCUGAAUUUAAGCAUAUAAGUAAGUGGUGGAAAUUAAACCAACUGGGAUCUCUUCAGUAAUUGCGCAUGAACCAGGAUAUGCUUAGCUUGACAAAUGGAGCUGCUGGCUCUGAAUUGUAUUGUGGGAAUGUAUUACCAACAGAGGUGCAGGUGUCAGCCAUUUGAAAGAAAGCAUCAAUGAGGGUGAGAGUCCUGUUUGUCAUGUGCAGCCUUCUGUGCACGGUGUAUAUUUGCUGAGUCACACUCCUUGGCAUUGGAAUGCAAAGUGGGUGGUAAGUUUCAUGCAAAGGUAAAUAUGCAAUUGAGACUGAUAGCGCACAAGUACCAUGAGGGACAUAUGAAAAGGACUUUGAAAAGAGAGUUAAAUGAGUUUGUAUUUGCUAAACACAAAGUAAACAGACUUGAUUUCCUCAGUGAGAUUGUAGUGCUUGCUUAACAAUGGGUUUUGGCUGCAAGUGCAAUAAUUCUUGCUUUGUGUGCCAGUUUUUAUGUGGACAUUUGAUUACCUUUGCACAUGAAUGGUAAUUUUCCUGCGGGGUGUGGAUUGCAUAUGCAUGUAAUGAUUUGCAUGUUUGUUAAAUGUGUCUGGUGUAUUUGUUUGUGUCCUUGUCCUUGAGGUUGCUUUCUCCCUUGGGCUUACAUGCCCUGGCACACACAUUCUGGCAAAAUGCUUCUGCUUGACCCGUCUUGAAACACGGUCCAAGG